AAACCUAUCUUGAUGGGAGAAACUAUGGUCAAGAAGGUGGUUUUCCCACACCAAGGCUCCUCCAUUGUGCUCCAGAUAUGCUGUUGACUGCAAUCUCUUCAAAUGUGCCAAAACACAUCUGUAUGAUUUGAGGAACUGCACUUGAGUUCUCCCUUG
rnacentral:snRNA from 14 species